rnacentral:lncRNA from 13 species
CAGUUAUGCUGGGCCCACCUGAACAGCAGGCUUAUGGGGUCCUAAGCCCACAUUCUAUCCUAAGAUACCCCUCAUUAUGACACAAUAAUACAGAAAAGCACAAAAAGCAUAAUACAGCUUACAAUUAGCCUCAUGAAUCAUUUUUCUAUUAGUCAAAACUUUACAGAGGAGAUAAACAGUGAUUUUUACCAUGCGUUGAGCCAGUUUGCACAGAGAGAGAGGGAGAGAGAGGCCAGAAGUCUGACUGGCAAAAGCAUCUGAAUUUUGCAAGUUGCCACUCAACUGGCUGCAUGGGGGUGCCAAAUAUCAGACUGGGGCCUGCUUCCAGCCAUGUGAAGAUGCCUGCUGCAGCCUCGCUUUCUGCCAUGAAUAAAAGCUCCCUGAGGCCUCACCAGAAGCAGAUGCUGCCAUGCUUCCUGUACAGCCUGCAGAAUCGAAAGUCAAUUAAUUCUCUUUAUGAAAUACCCGCUUGUGGACAUUUCUUUAUAGCAGUGUGA